GGUUGAUCCYGCCGGACCCCACUGCUAUCGGGAUGGGACUAAGACAUGCUAGUCGUGCGCCUCCUAGCCAUGAUGGAGGCACGGCGCACAGCUCAGUAACACGUUGCUAACCUACCCUUGGGACGGAAACAUCCCCGGGAAACUGGGGCCAAUUUCCGAUAGGUGAAGACUCCUGGAAUGGGUCUCCGCUGAAAAGGCAUUUAGGUCAUGCUUCUGGAUGCUGCCCAAGGAUGGGGCCACGGCCGAUCAGGUUGUUGGUGAGGUAACGGCCCACCAAGCCUUUAACCGGUUCGGGCCGUGGGAGCGGGAGCCCGGAGAUGGGUACUGAGACAAGAACCCAGGCCCUACGGGGCGCAGCAGUCGCGAAAACUUCGCAAUAAGCGAAAGCUUGACGGGGCUAUCCCGAGUGCCAUCUGCUGAGGAUGGCUUUUCUUCAGUGUAUAAAGCUGGGGGAAUAAGGAGAGGGCAAGUCUGGUGUCAGCCGCCGCGGUAAUACCAGCUCUCCGAGUGGUGAGGACGUUUAUUGGGCCUAAAGCAUUCGUAGCCGGCUGGGCAAGUUCUCCGUUAAAUCCAGCGAUCUAAUCGUUGGACUGCGGGGAAUACUGUCCGGCUAGGGGACGGGAGAGGCCGACGGUAUUCUCGGGGUAGGGGUGAAAUCCUAUAAUCCCGAGAAGACCACCAGUGGCGAAGGCUGUCGGCUAGAACGGGCCCGACGGUGAGGGAUGAAAGCUGGGGGAGCGAACCGGAUUAGAUACCCGGGUAGUCCCAGCUGUAAACGAUGCAGGCUAGGUGUCAGGGCGGCCACGUGCCGCUCUCGUGCCGCAGGGAAGCUGUUAAGCCUGCCGCCUGGGGAGUACGGCCGCAAGGCUGAAACUUAAAGGAAUUGGCGGGGGAGCACCACAAGGGGUGAAGCUUGCGGUUUAAUUGGAGUCAACGCCGGG
rnacentral:rRNA from 1 species